AAAAUUCAACUGCAGUUUCAGUAAAUGGUUUGCAUCCACUGGAGAUUUACAUGAAAAUUAUAUGUUCACAAAGUCCUGAAAUUACUAUUUUUAGUGACAGCAGAAGAUACAAUACAGAAUUCAGAAUUGCUUGAAUGCCCUGUUGCAUUUGCCAUUGAACUUCAAUGAAUGCCUUUUCAGCAUAACCUUCCAGAUGCAAAUGGGCGCAAAACAGAAGCAGAAGCCUGAGCUACUGGCUUAUACCCACUAAUCACCUUGCAUUAUUCAAGUGUUGCCUUAUUGGAGAGGUUGUCCUUGAGGAGAAAAGUUACGUUGUUCCCGGUGAGUUAGCA
ensembl:lncRNA